rnacentral:rRNA from 1 species
ACGCUGGCGGCAGGCUUAACACAUGCAAGUCGAACGCACCUUUCGGGGUGAGUGGCAGACGGGUGAGUAACGCGUGGGAACGUGCCCUUCAGUUCGGAAUAACCCAGGGAAACUUGGGCUAAUACCGGAUACGUGCGAGAGCAGAAAGAUUUAUCGCUGAAGGAUCGGCCCGCGUCUGAUUAGCUUGUUGGUGAGGUAAUGGCUCACCAAGGCGACGAUCAGUAGCUGGUCUGAGAGGAUGAUCAGCCACAUUGGGACUGAGACACGGCCCAAACUCCUACGGGAGGCAGCAGUGGGGAAUAUUGGACAAUGGGCGCAAGCCUGAUCCAGCCAUGCCGCGUGAGUGAUGAAGGCCUUAGGGUUGUAAAGCUCUUUCGUCCGGGACGAUAAUGACGGUACCGGAAGAAGAAGCCCCGGCUA